UUUUUCUGUUCUUUGAGCAAUAACAUCCAUCUUUCUCCUUUAAUCUUUCUCAAGUACUCAGAAUCGUGAAAACGAGGUUGUGGGAGAGCCAUACAAGCGUCGUGCUGUUAGGCUAAAUAGCCCCGAAUGGUGCACCCUAGAUGGCGAAAGUUCAGUAGCCGAAAGCUAUCACUAGCUUAUGUUCUGACCGAGUAGCAUGGGGCACGUGGAAUCUCAUGUGAAUCAACAAGGACCACCUUGCAAGGCUAAAUACUCCUGGGUGUCCGAUAGCGAAGUAGUACCGUGAGGGAAGGGUGAAAAGAACCUCCAUCGGGGAGUGAAAUAGAACAUGAAA
rnacentral:ncRNA from 1 species